rnacentral:rRNA from 1 species
CUACGGGUUGCUGCAGUCAAGAAUAUUCCACAAUGCGCGAAAGCGUGAUGGAGCGACGCCGCGUGCAGGAUUAAGGCCUUCGGGUCGUAAACUGCUUUUAUAGGGGAAGAAUUAGUGACGGUACCCUAAGAAUAAGAGGUUGCUAACUCCGUGCCAGCAGCAGCGGUAAUACGGAGACCUCGAACGUUAUCCGGAUUCAUUGGGCGUAAAGCGUCCGCAGGUGGUUUGGCAAGUUGAUGGUCAAAUCUCAAGGCUCAACCUUGGGACUGCUGUCAAUACUGCCAAACUAGAGGCUGGGAGAGGUAAGCGGAACUACCGGUGUAGUCGUAAUAAGCGUUGAUAUCGGUAGGAACACCAAAGGCGAAGGCAGCUUACUAGAACAUGCCUGACACUCAUGGACGAAAGCGUGGGUAGCGAAUGGGAUUAGAUACCCUGGUAGUC